rnacentral:lncRNA from 1 species
CACUGCUGGCCCAAGGAAGGCCUUGCCUCAUAAUCCUCAUGGUAGUUAGUCAUAAUUCUAGUGCACCCCAAACAUGUCAUUCUGUAAUCACAAAGUAGGUUUUGUUAUUAUUUGAAUAAGUCACCAAGUUGUUGUUUUUUUAGCACACACAUACAACUUUUUCCCCUUGUACAGAGCAGGGGUUAAGGUACACAUUCCUCAGACGAUGUCUAAUGGAAACCUUGACCCUACUUCACCAUUUAUGCCUUUGGCCAGUAUUUCCCUUGAAGACUUCUAGUUAGAGAUUUAACAAAACAAAUAAAAACUCCUUUGUUAACUUUCAUCUAAGAAUUAGAAAACACCAUUUAGCACGAUUUGGCACUGGAUUCCCAGGAUUUGAUGCAAUAUAUUUCAGUGUUUCUGUUGCUGAUCUCACAUGUGCCACUGCCUUUUCCAAGCUUUGCUCCAUGCCAAGUCAUCACAUGGAAGACCCAACUGGCUAUAUGUGUCCUGCCAGGGAGUUCUGGCAGAGAUUUGCAUGCUGAAGGAUAUGGAAUUAGUUUAGUACCAGAUGAGAAUACAGAAACAGAGACGUUAAGUACCUUGACCCAGGUCACACCACUAGGAAGUGGCAGAAAUAGGAUCCAAAUUCAGGCAGCCUGGCUCCAGAGUUCUUGUACGGGGGAUCGAACUCAGGACAUUGCACUUGCAAGAUAGGCGCAGCACCACUGAGCUAAAUCUGAUCCUGGGCCCCCUGUUUUUCAAGGGGGCGUGAGAAACAGAGAGUGACAUCCUGGUGUGGCCACAUGAGGAACUGAGAGAAGUACAUAGCAACAGAGAGCACCCCAGCCAGAGCGGGAGGCCAGAAGUUCUCAAAAUGCAGGAGAGGAGAAUCACACAAAUAUGACCAGGCAGGGAGUGAUCAUGUUAACAAGAAAAAUGCCUGUGUUGCCAUGUUAAGAGGAGGCAGUGUGAGACCAUAUGCAUAUGCAUAUUUAUAUUCAUAUCAUGCAUAUUCAUAGGACUGGAAAGAAAUCAUCCAAACAUGAGACCACUAGCAGUGGUUGUCUGAAUGGAGGGACUAUGGCUAUUUCUUUUCUUCUUCUUUUUUUCAAAAUUUUCUCAUUCUUCUAUGAUGAACCUGAACUCUUUUACAAGCAAAAGAGAGGAUCUGUUUGUGUAUUUGUUUUUAAACUGAUAGAUUUUACAGAUGAGAUUUUCACCUCCUG